UACGUAGGGUGCAAGCGUUGUCCGGAAUUAUUGGGCGUAAAGAGCUCGUAGGCGGUUCGUCGCGUCGGCUGUGAAAACCCGGAGCUCAACUCCGGGCCUGCAGUCGAUACGGGCGGACUAGAGUUCGGCAGGGGAGACUGGAAUUCCUGGUGUAGCGGUGAAAUGCGCAGAUAUCAGGAGGAACACCCGGUGGCGAAGGCGGGUCUCUGGGCCGAUACUGACGUGAGGAGCGAAAGCGUGGGGAGCGAACAGG
rnacentral:rRNA from 1 species